AUAAUGUUAGUCGCAAGUCAUAAUUAUAGCAAACUAUAACUAUGAUGAGUAAUUAAAUAAUAUAAGUUUGCUUAGCCGCGUAAUUUUUCUCUUUCCUAAACCCAUAAAAAAAAAACCCAAAGCUUUAGACCUUUUUCUUUAAAAUUCAGCAGCUCAAUAUAAUCUUCUUUCAGCCUAAACCAAAGACCAAGUCCAAGAAACCCACAAACAACAAUACUAUACGUACAUAAUGACCCGCCCCCCAUACUCGUUUUUUUUCCAGCAAGAACAUGCCAAAAUCCAAGUACACCGAUUUGUCCCAGUAUCGUCUUCUUCACGCGUUAUUGUCCAGCAAACACGAAAAAGCGACUCCAACAUCAGUAGCUGCACCAAACGACGUGAACAGUGCUAACAAUAAGCCCACACGUCCCUUUUUCCCCUUUUUUUGGUUGAGUUUGAGAGCAAGAUACAACUCUCCAUUACUUUUUUACUGUUGCCUCGAAAAGGAACGAAUUGAUUCAGUUGGAUUUUGCCCCUUUGUCGCCCAAGAAUUUCUGUAUAAAUAGCCCUUUGCACUCAAGUGAUAAGGACAUGGUUUUGGAAUUUGGAUUCUUAAGACAAGAUUUGAGCUUCGUUUUAAAGAUUGUCACUGCUCUACUUCAAAUUUUUAUGGCUAGUCUUUUGAUUCUAAGUUGAGAGAAGAUCGUCGUCCGAAUUUUCAUAGCUUGCCUUUAAUAUUCGAAGAGAGUGGUGGAAUCGCUCUUCUUGUCGUCCCCAGUAGCUGCCUUGAAAAAGUUAAAUCUGAUUCAAGAAGAAGAAAAGAAGAAAGCUCAAGGACUAGCAGCCAAGACCAAUAAUGUACAAAAAGAAGAAGAAAAAGAUAAAGAGAAUGGGAAGAAAGACAAUCAAGCAAGCAAGAACGAAGAAGAAGAAGAAGAAGAAGAAGAAGAAGAGGAAGAGGAAGAAGAAGAAUACGAUGAGAGGUGGAGGGAAAAUAUUUUAUUUCCACUUUUGGUACAACUUGCUGAUGGCUUCCCCCAAUUUUAAUUCCCAUCAAAAUUGGUUAAAUUAGAUUUUAGUCAAUUUACCCCUUUACCUUUCAUUUAAUUCAAUGGGUCAAACUGUCAACUUAUAAACUUGAGGGUAACUCCACAAUCCUUAAUCAUUAAUCACAUAAUUGUCACCUA